ACGAACGCUGGCGGCGUGCUUAACACCUGCAAGUCGAACGGAAAGGCCCUGCUUUUGUGGGGUGCUCGAGUGGCGAACGGGUGAGUAACACGUGAGUAACCUGCCCUUGACUUUGGGAUAACUUCAGGAAACUGGGGCUAAUACCGGAUAGGAGCUCCUGCUGCAUGGUGGGGGUUGGAAAGUUUCGGCGGUUGGGGAUGGACUCGCGGCUUAUCAGCUUGUUGGUGGGGUAGUGGCUUACCAAGGCUUUGACGGGUAGCCGGCCUGAGAGGGUGACCAGCCACAUUGGGACUGAGAUACGGCCCAGACUCCUACGGGAGGCAGCAGUGGGGAAUAUUGCACAAUGGGCGGAAGCCUGAUGCAGCAACGCCGCGUGCGGGAUGACGGCCUUCGGGUUGUAAACCGCUUUCGCCUGUGACGAAGCGUGAGUGACGGUAAUGGGUAAAGAAGCACCGGCUAACUACGUG
rnacentral:rRNA from 1 species